CUUCACUUUCAGCAUAUUUAAAUAAAAGAAUUUGUUAGAUUCAUUGAUGAUGUAGCUUAAACCCCGAUUUCUCCUAGAUGACACCUCCAAAAUCAAGUUUAAUUCUUCUCUUUUCUUCAUCCACUUUUGCUCUUGGUCUCCGAGCACCACACACAUACACACGUAUAAAAAUCCUUCGGUGUCGUAGUUUCCGAUGAAAACAACCAGCACGAUUUUUAUUCCGAUUUAGUAAAUCAAUCGAUACUUUGUGUGUUUGUUAUUAAAUAGGAGAGAUUUGGGUAUUCCAGAUGAAAACCCUAAACCUAGGACUUUUCCGAUUUGUAGGUAUUUGCUCUGUUUCUGAUAUUGUUUUCCUUUCUUACUCUCAAUGUUUGUCUUCAAAUUUCAGAAUUGAUUGAUGAUCUCACACAAAUUUAAUUGAUGGAUAAGAGCUUCUAGGUUCAUAAAGUGCAUCACUGUCGGCCAUGGGGCUGUUGGAAAGACAUGUCUCUUAAUUUCUUACACCAACAAUUCCUUUCAUACAAUGAUUAAUUCAUUUAAUUUCUUCACAAUUCUCUUCUUAUUCAAUUUUACGAAAGACAUUUCAAUCGAUUCUUUUGUUUAUCCCUAAUCUCAACCUAUCUUAUUCAUUUCUUCACAAUUCCUUUUUGUCCCCAUCGUCGAACUUCAUUUAUACGCUUUUCAGUUCAUUUCUGCCUAAUUUCUUGUGGAGAUGGGAGGAAGUAUCGGUAUAAUAAUCAUAUUCUUAAUGGAAUUUUGCUUAUAAAGAAGAUUGAAAUAUAUCUACUUGUUUCCAUUGUGUUCCAAAUAUGAUUAUCUACCAAUUGUAUUUGAUAAUUUCAGUGCCAAUGUCGUUGUUAAUGGCAAUAUUGUCAAUCUAGGCUUGUGGGACACUGUUAGUAACCAUCUGAAACACCAUUAAUCAUUUCUAUAUUCUUGAACUUCAAGGGUAAUAUAGACAUUUCAUUGAACAUGAUAAGAAGAUUAUAACAAAUUAAGAUCAUUGAGUUAUCAUGGUGUUGAUGUCUUUAUUCUUGCAUUUUCUCUCAUUCGCAAAACUAGCUAUGAAAACAUUUCCAAGAAGUGGAUUCUAGAAUUGAAACACUAUGCCCCUGAAGUCCUAGUUGUCCUUGUUGGGACCAAAAUUGGUUAGUUGUUUCAUGAUGAUUCAGAAUUUGAUAAUUUGUAGAAGCUAAACUGCAUUAUUAAUUUGUUAUAUAAUGUUAUAAAUUGGUUAGUUAUAAAUGACCAAGAUACCCUGUUAUCAGAAUCAUUUUUUUUCCUGUAUUUUUAGUUUAUUGUAGUAUAACUCAUUGUAAGAUGAUUUGCCAUUGGUUUUACUGUAAUGUUUUGACUGA